rnacentral:rRNA from 1 species
GGAUUAGAUACCCUGGUAGUCCACGCCGUAAACGAUGGACACUAGUUGUUGGGAUAUAUUUCAGUGACUAAGCGAAAGUGAUAAGUGUCCCACCUGGGGAGUACGGUCGCAAGAUUGAAACUCAAAGGAAUUGACGGGGGCCCGCACAAGCGGUGGAGCAUGUGGUUUAAUUCGAUGAUACGCGAGGAACCUUACCAGGGCUUAAAUGUAAUUUGACGUUUUUAGAGAUAAAGAUUUCUUCGGACAAAUUACAAGGUGCUGCAUGGUUGUCGUCAGCUCGUGCC